rnacentral:rRNA from 1 species
AGCCGCGGUAAUACGGAGGAUGCGAGCGUUAUCCGGAUUUAUUGGGUUUAAAGGGUGCGUAGGCGGCACGCCAAGUCAGCGGUGAAAUUUCCGGGCUCAACCCGGAUUGUGCCGUUGAAACUGGCGAGCUAGAGUGCACAAGAGGCAGGCGGAAUGCGUGGUGUAGCGGUGAAAUGCAUAGAUAUCACGCAGAACCCCGAUUGCGAAGGCAGCCUGCUAGGGUGCGACAGACGCUGAGGCACGAAAGCGUGGGUAUCGAACAGGAUUAGAUACCCUGGUAGUCCACGCAGUAAACGAUGAAUACUAACUGUUUGCGAUACAAUGUAAGCGGUACAGCGAAAGCGUUAAGUAUUCCACCUGGGGAGUACGCCGGCAACGGUGAAACUCAAAGGAAUUGACGGGGGCCCGCACAAGCGGAGGAACAUGUGGUUUAAUUCGAUGAUACGCGAGGAACCUUACCCGGGCUUGAACUCAUCAGGGCGAUGCAAGAGAUUGCGUUUUCCUUCGGGACUUGAUGAGAGGUGCUGCAUGGUUGUCGUCAGCUCGUGCCGUGAGGUGUCGGCUUAAGUGCCAUAACGAGCGCAACCCCUAUGGACAGUUACUAACGGGUGAAGCCGAGGACUCUGUCUAGACUGCCGGCGCAAGCCGCGAGGAAGGUGGGGAUGACGUCAAAUCAGCACGGCCCUUACGUCCGGGGCGACACACGUGUUACAAUGGCAGGUACAGAAGGCAGCCAGUCAGCAAUGACGCGCGAAUCCCGAAAACCUGUCUCAGUUCGGAUUGGAGUCUGCAACCCGACUCCAUGAAGCUGGAUUCGCUAGUAAUCGCGCAUCAGCCAUGGCGCGGUGAAUACGUUCCCGGGCCUUGUACACACCGCCCGUCAAGCCAUGGGAGCCGGGGGUACCUGAAGUGCGUAACCGCGAGGAGCGCCCUAGGGUAAAACUGGUGACUGGGGCUAAGUCGUAACAAGGUAGCCGUACCGGAAGGUGCGGCUG